rnacentral:ncRNA from 16 species
UAAUUGAGUAAUCUCUCGGAUGCCCGCUAGGGCGUAACAGGGAAGUCCGGUGAAAAACCGGCGCGGUCCCGCCACUGUAAGUGGGAAGCUCCCCCGUUUUAGCCACUCGACAAACUUGUUGGGGAAGGCUGGGGGUAGCGUUGAAGGUUCGACCUUCUGAACCUAUGAGCCAGGAGACCUAUCCGAGCUGACAUAGUACGG